rnacentral:lncRNA from 1 species
UGGUCAGGUUGCCUAGGGCAUCUACCACCUCUGCUCUUGUAAAAGCCCGGUCCAGUUCUGGAUUGGGUUGCCCUUUGUGUUCUCGGGAUUCCGAGUGGACACGC